AAAGAAGGCUGGGAGGGGAAAUGAUAGUCAUGUUUAAAGACUUCAAAGGAUGUCACAUUGAGGAGGGGGUGAGCUUUUCUUCUGCUCUGGAGACUAGGAAACAGAGCAAUGGAUUAAAAUUGCAGGAAAAGAGAUUCCACCUAAACACUGGGGAAGAAACCAACGGUAAACGCUGUUCAGCAGUGAAAUCUACUUCCUAGGAGCAUGGCGGAGUCUCCUUCUCUGGAGGUUUCAAGCAGAGGUUGGAUGGCUAUCAGAAGCGCUAUCAGGAUGGCUAUCAGGACUGGAAACCCUUGGUUAAGUCCAGUCGUGACCGACCCUGGGGGUUGGUGCUCAUCUCCAUUUCUAAGCCGAAGAGCCGGCGUUGUCCGUAGACACCUCCAAGGUCAUGUGGCCAGCAUGACUGCAUGGAGCGCCAUUACCUUCCCGCCGGAGCGGUACCUAUUAAUCUACUCACAUUUGCAUGUUUUCGAACUGCUAGAUUGGCAGGAGCUGGGGCUAACAGCGGGCGCUCAUUACACUCCCGGGAUUUGAACCUGGGACCUUUUGGUCCACAAGUUCAGCAGCUCAGUGCUUCAACACACUGUGCCACCAGGGACCCCAAUGAUAAUAAUAAUAUGGUGCAUAUCUAGUUCCAAACUUUUGAAAGGAAGCAGCUAGAGAGUAGAAAAUGUUCACAAGUGUCAUAUAAAUGAAUGGACAUUGAACCAAACCAGGCCAGAACUUCCACCAGAAACCAAAAUGAUGAAAGUGUUGUUGUAUGUCUUUCGGGCUGUAUGGCCAUGUUCCAGAAGUAUUCUCUCCUGACGUUUUGCCCACAUCUAUGGCAGGCAUCCUCAGAGGUCGUGAGGUAUGGAAAAACUAAGCAAGGAAUGUUUAUAUAUAUCUGUGGUCAUAGAGGCUAUUGAUUAAAGCGAUUAAGAAGCUUUGGUGACAACUUGAACUAAAGAGAACCCCUCAACCUUUUUUUCCUUUCUGUAAGAUUGAGGAGACAGCAAUAAAGAAGUUAACCUUUGUCUGUUAUUCUGUGAUGCAUUUGUGGUUAGAAAACUAGUGGGGAUAAACAUUUUACAAGUGGGGAUAAAAAGUUACUCAAGUGCGGGGGAGAGAUAAAGAAACAUGAUGUCAGCAGAAUGAAACUCCAAGCCGGAGGAAGAGAGUUAGGUCAAGUCUACUAGGUCAAGAUGACCCAGUGAGAUGAAUAGGAAGAAAAGUCCCCCUCCCAUCCAGAUGUACCCUCACCCACUUCCUUUUGGUCUUUGUUUUGCAAAACCCUAACCAUAAGCAUAAUUAAAAAUAGCAUAGGAAAAUUAAGAAAUGCAUACAUAAGGGAAAUAAAAUUGCUGAAGAAAGAUGUUUAUUACCGGCUAUAAAAGGGUUGGCCCUCGACUCAUUCGGGGCAGCAGUCCUUUGAAUAGAACUCUCCGGAGUUCUGACUGCUCUGCCACUUCACAGCUGUGCAAGGAAAAUAAACGCGAUUCUGCUUUACCUCUGGAGACUGGUCUCUCGUCAUAUGCUGCCUCCUGCCACGGACCACAAGGAGACCCCAAGCUGGGGGUCCCCGACAGUGGGAAGUCCAGGGUGAGGGAAGAACUCAAAAUGAUGAAGCUCAGGAUGUCCUCAGAUUCAUCUGCAUUGCGGAAUUAAUGCAAUUUGACACCACUUUUAACGUUGUUUAUUCAUUCAGUGGUUCCGAUUCUUCGUGACCUCAUGGACCAGUCCACACCAGAGCUCCCUGUUGGCCGUCGCCGCUCCCAGUUCCUUCAAGGUCAAGCCAGUCACUUCAAGGAUAACGUCCAUCCAUCUCACUCUUGGUCGGGCCUCUCUCCCUUCUUCCUUCCAUUUUUCCCAGCAUCAUGAUCUUUUCCAAGCUUUCCUCUCUCCUCAUGAUGUGGCCAAAAUACUUCAUCUUUGCCUCUAGUAUCCUUCCCUCCAGUGAGCAACCUGGAGGAUGGACUGGUUGGAUCUUCUUGGGGUCCAAGGCACCA
rnacentral:lncRNA from 1 species